AGGCGCUUCCCUUCCUUGACUUUUUGGGUCUGGCUCCAGCUUUGAUUUGAGCCGGAGGCACCACAGAUAAUUACAAAGCCGUGUAAGGAGGGAGGCAGAGUGAGAUGGCUGAAUAGAAGCCUCCACUGACUGUCCCUGCAACAGGAACACCAAACAUAACAACAAUCCACACAAAAAAGCACCUUCAUAAGAACAGAAAAUCAGGAUGCGGCAUCUGAGAUGUUGAGAAGAAACACAGCCAGCAGGUGGAAGGCCUUCUCAUCUCUAGAACCAUGCUGCUCAAUAUGUAGGCAUCGGCAACAUGCAGGUAUUGAACAUUUGACAUAUGACAAGUUUGAACUGAGAUGUGCUGGAAGUACAAAAUACACACUGAAUUUGGAAGACUUAGUAUGAAA